CUGCAAUGGACGUUGGUUAUUUCAUGUCAUGGAUAUACCUUAAACAAGAUCCUAUUCUAAAUUUUGACCAAAAUGACAAUAGUUACAUCAACGUUUCCAAUCUGAGUAAAUUCUAAACUCAAGAUCUUGUAGAGUUCUGAAGAUUCUUAAGGCUUUCACGAAUCCUUAAAUAUGUUUCCAAAUCUGCCAAGCUUAUGGACAAUAAAAUGUUCAGUAUCGUUGGUAUCUGGAUGAUAUAUUCUUGGCUAUUCUAUACAAUGUCUAAACAUUUUCAUAAAUGUAAAGAUGUUGCCAAUAAUGGAUCGGUGCUGAAAUCUAAAUUUGUAGAGUUCUGUCGAUUUUAAAGGCUUGCCCGAACUCUAAAAGCCAAAUCUUCAAAGCUUAUGAAGUAAUAUAUUCAGCUUCAUCGGUACGUGGAGAUUUCUAUAUCUAAUUUAAAAAAUGUAAAGUUGUUGCCAUAUCUGGAUCGGUUCUGAAAUCGAAAUUUGUAGAGUUCUGUCAAUUUUAUAGGCCUUCAUGAAUCCUUUAAGCCUAAACCGAGCUCAAAAACUGUAACUGGAAGUAAAAUUCUACGUUUUUGUUUAAACAAAUUCCUAAGAAGGCAGCUAUUAAAUUAGCUAAAUAAUAUAUGCAUAAUACCCUUUUAGAAUCCCCAAACUCAGAGUGUUAAAUUGCGAGUGU